CCGUCCUACGGGAGGCAGCAGUAAGGAAUAUUGGUCAAUGGGCGCAAGCCUGAACCAGCCAUGCCGCGUGCAGGAUGACUGCCCUAUGGGUUGUAAACUGCUUUUAUCCGGGAAUAACCCCCUCUACGAGUAGAGGGCUGAAUGUACCGAGAAGUCC
rnacentral:rRNA from 1 species